UACGUAGGGUGCGAGCGUUAAUCGGAAUUACUGGGCGUAAAGCGUGCGCAGGCGGUGAUGUAAGACCGAUGUGAAAUCCCCCGGGCUUAACCUGGGAACUGCAUUGGUGACUGCAUUGCUGGAGUAUGGCAGAGGGGGGGGUGGAAUUCCACGUGUAGCAGUGAAAUGCGCAGAUAUCAGGAGGAACACCGGUGCGAAGGCG
rnacentral:rRNA from 1 species